rnacentral:rRNA from 1 species
UUGGUCCCCCCCCCCUCCGCUUAUACAAAUAAUACAAAUAAAAUUUUUUAGUAUUAGUUAAAUUGUAAAAUUAAUUAAUAUAAAUUUAAGUUUAUUAGGUGAAAUUUUAAAUUUAUUAAUUUGUUAUUUAUGUAAUAAUUUAAGCUAUAAACUUUUUAUUAUAGACUAGGAUUAGAUACCCUAUUAUAAAAAAUAAAUAUUUAUAUACUAAAGUAGUAUUAGUUAUGUUCUUAAAAUUUAAAAAAUUUGGCGGUAUUUUAGUCUAUUUAGAGGAAUCUGUCCUAUAAUUGAUAAUCCACAUUGAACCUUACUUAAAUUAAUUUAAUUUGUAUAUCGUCGUCAUCAGAAUAUAUUAUAAGAAAAAUUUUCUUUAUAUUUAAUUGAAUAAAAUGUCAGAUCAAGGUGCAGUUUAUAUUUAAGAAGAGAUGGAUUACAAUAAAUUUAUUUAUAUGGAUAAUUUUUUGAAAUAAAAGUUUGAAAGUGGAUUUAAUAGUAAUAUAAAAAAGAUUAUUUAUAUGAUUAUAGCUCUAAAAUAUGCACAUAUCGCCCAUCGUUCUUAUUAUUAAAAUAAGAUAAGUUGUAACAUAGUAGAUGUACUGGAAAGUGUAUCUAGAAAGA